rnacentral:rRNA from 1 species
UAUCAGUCAUGCAUAGCAUAUCAAUAAGCGGAGGAAAAGAAACUAACUAGGAUUCCCUUAGUAACGGCGAGUGAAGCGGGAAGAGCUCAAAUUUGAAAUCUUCAAGGUUCUACCUUGACGAAUUGUAGUUUAUAAGAAGUGUUUUCUGUUAGUAGAGUUGGCUAAAAGUUCUUUGGAAUAGGACAUCAUAGAGGGUGAGAAUCCCGUAUUUGUACCAUUCUUUCUAACUUUGUGAUACACUUUCAACGAGUCGGAUUGUUUGGGAAUGCAGUCCAAAAUGGGUGGUAAAUUUCAUCUAAAGCUAAAUAUUGGCGAGAGACCGAUAGCGAACAAGUACCGUGAGGGAAAGAUGAAAAGAACUUUGAAAAGAGAGUUAAACAGUACGUGAAAUUGUCAAAAGGGAAGCGUUUGACACCAGUGUUGUUUUUCCGAAAAUCAAUUACGAAUGUUUUAGUUUUUGAGGAGUUAUGACUUCAUCGGCUUGCUUCUCUCUUUAUGAAACUUUCUUAAUGCACUUUUCGGUUAACAAGUCAACAUCAAUUUCUUUUGUUGUAAAAGGGUAUGAGGAAGGUGGCUUUCUUUUCGGAGAAAGUGUUUAUAGCCUUGUGCCUCUGCAAUCGGAGAGAUUGAGGUCUGCAGCGUAGAUCCUUCGGGGUUAGAUACAGUUUGUGCUAAGUUAUAGCUUUUCAUAGACAACUUGUUGACUAUGUUAGUCUUGUAGCUUACUCGCUGAUGCUAUUUUACCUACGCUUAGGAUGUUGAUCUCUCACAGUCGAGC